ACGCCCGUAGCUCAGUGGAUAGAGCAACGGUCUCCGGAACCGUGUGCGGAGGUUCGACUCCUCUCGGGCGUACCA
rnacentral:tRNA from 1 species